rnacentral:rRNA from 1 species
CACUCCUGCGGGAGGCAGCAGUGGGGAAUUUUGGACAAUGGGCGAAAGCCUGAUCCAGCAAUGCCGCGUGUGUGAAGAAGGCCUUCGGGUUGUAAAGCACUUUUGUCCGGAAAGAAAUCCUUGGCUCUAAUACAGUCGGGGGAUGACGGUACCGGAAGAAUAAGCACCGGCUAACUACGUGCCAGCAGCCGCGGUAAUACGUAGGGUGCGAGCGUUAAUCGGAAUUACUGGGCGUAAAGCGUGCGCAGGCGGUUUGCUAAGACCGAUGUGAAAUCCCCGGGCUCAACCUGGGAACUGCAUUGGUGACUGGCAGGCUAGAGUAUGGCAGAGGGGGGUAGAAUUCCACGUGUAGCAGUGAAAUGCGUAGAGAUGUGGAGGAAUACCGAUGGCGAAGGCAGCCCCCUGGGCCAAUACUGACGCUCAUGCACGAAAGCGUGGGGAGCAAACAGGAUUAGAAACCCGUGUAGUCCCAUGA